CACGUAUGGGGCGAGCGUUGUUCGGAAUUAUUGGGCGUAAAGGGUAUGCAGGCGGUUUUGUAAGUCUGGUGUGUAAGACCACAGCUUAACUGUGGGAACGCACUGGAAACUGUGAGACUAGAGUUCAGGAAGGGGAGUUGGAAUUCCAGGUGUAGGGGUGAAAUCUGUAGAUAUCUGGAAGAACAUCAGUGGCGAAGGCGAACUCCUGGCCAUGUACUGACGCUGAGAUACGAAAGCGUGGGGAGCAAACAGG
rnacentral:rRNA from 1 species